rnacentral:rRNA from 1 species
CAUUAAAGAAUCGCCCCGUUUUUUGAAGUGGGUUCUAUUCCCAAACCGUGUAUACAUACCUUUGUUGCUUUGGCAGGCCGCCUUUUAGGCGUCGGCUUCGGCUGACUGCGCCUGCCAGAGGACCCAAACUCGUUUGUUUAGUGAUGUCUGAGUACUAUAUAAUAGUUAAAACUUUCAACAACGGAUCUCUUGGUUCUGGCAUCAAUGAAGAACGCAGCGAAAUGCGAUAAGUAAUGUGAAUUGCAGAAUUCAGUGAAUCAUCGAAUCUUUGAACGCACAUUGCGCCCCUUGGUAUUCCGAGGGGCAUGCCUGUUCGAGCGUCAUUAUAACCACUCAAGCCUCGGCUUGGUCUUGGGGUUCGCGGUUCCGCGGUCCUUAAAAUCAGUGGCGGUGCCGUCUGGCUCUAAGCGUAGUAAUUCUCUCGCUAUAGGGUCCCGGCGGCUACCUGUCAAGACCCCCCCCAUUUUUUACGGUUG